AUGCUGACAUCGUGUGGCCCCUGCUCUGCAUCUCUGACUCACGUGCCAGCCAGUCCAACUUCUGGGCACCCAGACGAGAAGUCAGUGUGGCACUUGAGCAGGAAGGGAGCUGAGCUCAGGCCCACAGACUUGCAGCCGCGUGUUCAGGCGCUGGAGGCAUACAGCAGACUCUUGCGACGUCGUCCCAAAUCGCGAAGGCAGUGCCAGCCCUGGGGAAGGUGGUUGACUUCUUGGCAUCUGUUACCUGUAGCCCAGGCCUUGGAUGAUGGGUUGAAGUUUAAUGUUGUGAAGUGCAGAGGGAAGGCGAGUGCAGAGUUCAUGGGAAAGGGAGGGCCACAUCCACGAGUUCUGCACGGGGGCGGCGUGAGCUGCCUGAGCGGCGGCCCAGCGGGAGGGCAGCGAUGGAGAGGAAGACUCAGAAGUGCAGUUUGGUGGAGGCGGGGCCCCCUAGCCAGUGAGCAUGACAAGCAGCUGCUUAAGUUUGUAGAGCCUUCUUCAGACUCAUUCAGAGCAGUUGGCCGGUUUUCAGGAAAUUCAAGGAAACUCCAUCGUGGGGCCACCUCGGAAGGCAGGGGGAGCGUGGUGUCAGGUCGGCUCUGCUCAUGCGUCAUUGUCCUCUUUGCCGAGGGCCCCCCUUGGUCUCCCGGGCUCCGUUUCUGCCCUGCAGGUUUGAGGUUGGGCAGAAUCAGCUCGGAUGCUCCUUCCAUCCUCGACGUCCUGAGACCUGGGCCUCCCUGUGUUUCUGACGAUCGUCCUGCUUCCAAAGGAGGUUCCCAUGCGUCCUUCGAUUUGCUCUGGGUUUCUCCAGAUGAGGAAUCGGAGGUCAGUCCUGGAAGGCCCAUGGCUGACCCAUGUCUUUGCCAGCCAUGUGUCCUGGCGUUAGGAAAGGUGCUGUGCAGCUCUGGGCAGGGGCCAGGCUUUCACUGGCUUUCAGAUAACCAAUGCGAAGCACUUACUAACCUAAGGUUUUCGUUUUCCAAACCAAAAAUGUAUCCCUUUUAG
rnacentral:lncRNA from 1 species